CCUACGGGAGGCAGCAGUGAGGAAUAUUGGUCAAUGGCCGCAAGGCUGAACCAGCCAAGCCGCGUGCAGGAAGAAGGAUCUAUGGUUUGUAAACUUCUUUUAUAGGGGAAUAAAGGUAUCCACGUGUGGAUAUUUGCAUGUACCCUAUGAAUAAGCAUCGGCUAACUCCGUGCCAGCAGCCGCGGUAAUACGGAGGAUGCGAGCGUUAUCCGGAUUUAUUGGGUUUAACGGGUGCGUAGGUUGUUUUUUAAGUCAGCGGUGAAAUUUUGUGGGUCAACCAUAAAAUUGCCGUUGAAUCUGGAAGACUUGGGUGGGUGUGAGGUAAGCGGAAUGCGUGGGGUAGCGGUUAAAUGCAUAAAUAACACGCAGAAAUCCGAUUGGGAAGGCAGCUUACUAAGCCAUAACUGACACUGAAGCACGAAAGCGGGGGGAUCAAACAGGAUUAGAUACCCCUGUAGUC
rnacentral:rRNA from 1 species